GACGAACGCUGGCGGCGUGCUUAACACAUGCAAGUCGAACGGAAAGGCCCUGCUUUUGUUGGGUUCUCGAUUGGCGAACGGGUGAGUAACACGUGAGUAACCUGCCCUUGACUUUGGGAUAACUUCAGGAAACUGGGGCUAAUACCGGAUAGGAGCUCCUGCUGCAUGGUGGGGGUUGGAAAGUUUCGGCGGUUGGGGAUGUACUCGCGGCUUAUCAGCUUGUUGGUGGGGUAGUGGCUUACCAAGGCUUUGACGGGUAGCCGGCCUGGGAGGGUGAACGGGGACAUUGGGCCUAAGAGACGGACCAGAAGCGUACGGGAGGCAGUAGGGGGGAAUAUUGCAGAAUGGGGGGGAGCGUGAGGCAGAAACGCCGCGUGCGGGAUGACGGCUUUCGGGUUGUAAACAGAUUUCGACUGAGACGAAGCGUGAGUGACGGUAAUGGGUAAAGAAGCAACGGCUAACUACGUG
rnacentral:rRNA from 1 species